rnacentral:rRNA from 1 species
CGGAGGAUCCAAGCGUUAUCCGGAAUCAUUGGGUUUAAAGGGUCCGUAGGCGGUUUAGUAAGUCAGUGGUGAAAGCCCAUCGCUCAACGGUGGAACGGCCAUUGAUACUGCUAGACUUGAAUUAUUAGGAAGUAACUGGAAUAUGUAGUGUAGCGGUGAAAUGCUUAGAGAUUACAUGGAAUACCAAUUGCGAAGGCAGGUUACUACUAAUGGAUUGACGCUGAUGGACGAAAGCGUGGGUAGCGAACAGGAUUAGAUACCCUGGUAGUCCACGCCGUAAACGAUGGAUACUAGCUGUUGGGAGCGAUCUCAGUGGCUAAGCGAAAGUGAUAAGUAUCCCACUGGGGAGUACGUUCGCAAGAAUG